GCGGGCAUGAUGGAAUUGGCAGACAUGUAGGAUUUAGGUUCCUAUGGAGCGAUCCGUUGGGGUUCAAGUCCCCAUGCCCGCACCA
rnacentral:tRNA from 2 species